UCCACAUAUUUAAAAGUCUUAUAACUUUUUAUUUUUGUCCUCACUGGCCUCCAAGUUUUCUAGGAUGAUGCAAUGUCCAGCCAUCAACACAUUUGUGAAGGAAUUUUUACUCCCCAAAAGAGCGCCCCCCCAUGGCAGGAGAAAAAAAGUCAAUUUUUUCUUGUCCCAUAAGGUGAUAAUACACAUUGUUGACUGUCAUACCUGUACGCUUUGUCAUAUUGACACAAAAUUUGACAUACACAUGUAUCUCAAUAAGAUCUACGAAAAAGUCAAUGCGCGCGUAUCUGUAAAAUGUACGGUUAAAGGGCUAUUUUACAUUUUUUGCCGAUUAGCACACAUUGGAAUGUGGCUAACUCCUCCUAAGGCUUUCGUCCCACUGACACCAAAUUUGCUCAGGCCAAUCUACACCCCAUGGCCAUUCAAAGUUGUAAAAAUCAUGACGCUGCACCCCACGGUUUAGGUUCUAGGGGGCGCCAAAGAUAACCCUAAAAUCCACAUAUUUAAAAGUCUUAUAACUUUUUAUUGUUGUCCCCACUGGCCUCCAAGUUUUCUAGGAUGAUGCAAUGUCCAGCCAUCAACACAUUUGUGAAGGAAUUUUUACUCGCCAAAAGAGCGCCCCCCCAUGGCAGGAGAAAAAAGUCCAUUUUUUCUUGUCCACUAAGGUGAAAAUACACAUUGUUGAGUGCUACACCUGUACGCUUUGUCAUAUUGACACAAGAUUUGACAAUCAAGUGUAUCUCAAUAAGAUCUACGAAAAAGUCAAUGUGCACGUAUCUGUAAAAUGUACGGUUAAAGGGCUAUUUCGCAUUUUUCGCCGAUUAGCACACAUUGGAAUGUGGCUAACUCCUCCUAAAGCUUUCGUCCCACUGACACCACAUUUGCUCAGGCAAAUCUACACCCCAUGGCCAUUCAAAGUUGUACAAAUCAUGACGCUGCACCCCACGGUUUACGUUCUAGGGGGCGCCAAAGAGGACCCAAAUAUCCACAUUUUUAAAAGUCCUAUAACUUUUUAUUUUUGUCUUCACUGGCCUCCAAGUUUUCUAGGAUGAUGCAAUGUCCAGCCAUCAACACAUUUGUGAAAGAAUUUUUUCUCCCCAAAAGAGCGCCCCCCCCCCCCCCCAUGGCAGGAGAAAAAGUCAAGUUCUUCCUGCCCAUCGCUCAAUGGCUCAAACGCAUCGCUCUCUCGGCAAAACCGAAAGGAGGAGCAACUUGCCAUUUGGAUAUAUCGAAGCUGUGUUUGUGCCCUCACUCAUGGUCCAGACUUUUUUCAAAAAGGACAUGGAGUUCGUCUGCAGCGAGCAUUUUGGUAGAAACCGCGCCUCCCAUUCAUUAUAAUGGUAAAUGACCACAGACAAGUGCGCACACCAUCUUUGGACCUUGAGUGUGACGCGAUCGGGAGGGGUAGGCGGUCACGCUGGGGGCGGCGCGACACGGCUCGGGCCCGCCAGUGCCCCACCGGGGCCCUAGUUAGGGCCCGAGCGUAGCUGCUAAGCAGCUGCGAGAGCCCUAUUAUUCCCCAAGUGGUUUUUCUUUGUUUCUUUCUUUCUUUCUUUCUUUCUUUCUUCUUUUUCCUCCCCUUUGAACUGGAAAAUGGCCCACUUCCCACUGGCGAAAACUCAUGAAAUUUGGCAGGACGACCGGGCCUGGUGAAAAAUUUGAUAUUCUGAAGUCGCCCAAACAAUAAAAUGCAAAAUGGCUCCAUAGCGCCCCCUAAGGUGGAAAUUCACACUAUUGAUUGUCACGCCUGUACGCUUUGUCAUAUUGACACAAAAAUUGACACACAUAUGUAUCUCAAUAAGAUCUACAAAAAAGUCAGUGCGGCCGUAUCUGUCAAAAUUACGGUUAAAGGGUUAUUUCGCAUUUUUUGCCGAUCCGCACACAUUGGAAUUUCGCUAACUCCUCCGAAGGCUUUCGUUCCACCGGCACCACAUUUGCUCAGGCCAAUCUACACCCCGUGGCCAUUAAAAGUUAUCAAAAUCAUGACGCUGCACCCCACGGUUUAGGUUCUAGGGGGCGCCAAAGAUAACACUAAAAUCCACAUAUUUAAAAGUCUUAUAACUUUUUAUUUUUGUCCUCACUGGCCUCCAAGUUUUCUAGGAUGAUGCAAUGUCCAGCCAUCAACACAUUUGUGAAGGAAUUUUUACUCCCCAAAAGAGCGCCCCCCCAUGGCAGGAGAAAAAAGUCCAUUUUUUCUUGUCCCCUAAGGUGAAAAUACACAUUGUUGAGUGUCACGUCUAUACGCUUUGUCAAAAUGACACAAAAAUUGACACACACAUGUAUCUCAAUAAGAUCUACGAAAAAGUCAAUGCGUGCAUAUCUGUCAAAUGUAUGUACGGUUAAAGGGUUAUUCCGCAUUUUUUGCCGAUCCGCACACAUUGGAAUGUGGCUAACUCCUCCUAAGGCUUUCGUUCCACCGGCACCACAUUUGCUCAGGCCAAUCUACACCCCAUGGCCAUUAAAAGUUAUUCAAAUCAUGACGCUGCACCCCACGGUUUAGGUUCUAGGGGGCGCCAAAGAUAACCCUAAAAUCCACAUAUUUAAAAGUCUUAUAACUUUUUAUUUUUGUCCUCACUGGCCUCCAAGUUUUCUAGGAUGAUGCAAUGUCCAGCCAUCAACACAUUUGUGAAGGAAUUUUUACUCCCCAAAAGAGCGCCCCCCAUGGCAGGAGAAAAAAGUCCAUUUUUUCUUGUCCCCUAAGGUGAAAAUACAUAUUGUUGAGAUUCACGCCUAUACGCUUUGUCAUAUUGACACAAAAUUUGACAAUCACGUGCCUUGCCUGGUAUCAUUUUUUUCAGCACAACCUCACCUGUGCGAAUUUACAGUUAUUUUAUCAUGUUGACAUACUGAAUUUACACAAUGGACCCAAAUUCACACACAAAACAUAAAAUCCGAGUGGAAAAAAGUAACAUUUUUACUGUGAAAACCACAAAUAUGUGUGAUGAACUGUUUUUAAAACUUAAACUUCAAAUAAAAAUUGUAAACUUCAAAACAUAUGCAAAUUUUUAACAAAGAACAUAGUGAUUUACCUCUAUUUACAUCAAAAUGCAGGCAAUGGCCCAGGCGUUCUUUGUAAAAUUAUUUACAAAACACUGUAUAGUCUCACAAAUGUCACUUUUUAUUUAUGCCACUACAAAAAAACAUGAUGUAAAUGAUGCAUGAUGUAAAACAUGAUGUAAAAAACUUGUGUAGAUCCUCCUCUAUGUCAGUCCAUGUGUAAUUUUUCCAUAAUUCUUUGUUUUUUGCAGCAUUUUUGUUAGUGUAACUGCAGAUUGUGCUGACAGUGUCUAUGGCAAAAAAAAAAAAAAAAAAAAAACUGAAAAUGCCUCAACAUGAACCCCUGGUGGUCUCUGAGGGUGAAACCUGCUAACUGCUGCAGCUCUGUCAGCUUCAGUCUCAUGCAGAGCUCGGAGCGCAUGUGUGGCUCUGCACCCUUAGCAGCGUUGCUAACUCCUCAGUAAGGAAAGCCUGCUUCAUGUCAGAGUCUCUAAACUCCAGAAGAAGUCGAUAAAAGUCACUUUCUUUCUAAAAAAAAGUCGUUAGGGGGUCUGAAAAGUCAUUGAAUCUAACAACAAAGUCGCUAGGUUUGCAACUACGUGUCCCAGACUGCAUCCCUGCUGAGAGUCCCUCCCUCCCUUCUCAUAUUGCAGGAAGAACGUAAGCGCCCGCCCCUCAACGGAGUCAACGAGGCUCCGUCUUGCAGCUACAUCCGGUUGAAUAUGUCAUGUGACUUGAACGCACACACACACACACACACACACACACACACACACACACAGACACACACACACACGCACACACACACACUCAGAGUCUGGUUUUUAGCACCUGCAAAAACAUGCUAUUUACAUAUUUGACAAGAAUGCAGAGGCUCCUUUUGCCCCUGAAAAAAAUCAAAUUUCAAACACAACUUGACUGGUCAUUUCUCCAAAAGACAACCAUGAAGCUCCAUCCAAACCUGAAGCAGGCAGUUGGUGCAUGUGUACAGUAACCUGAGGGGAGUGAGGUGACUGCUUCUGAGGAGAACAUGAGCAGUGAAGAUUCACCUUAGAGCUAGAACAGAGACGUGCACAUGAUUAUACAGGGGCAGGGGCUCAAGUUUUUUCCAGUUGUUUAUACAAUAUGGAAAUUAAUGUGAAAUUAAAAAACAAAGUAUUAAUAGAAAGGUAAUGACUGUCCUGAGUAGGUGACAGUGAUAUCCAAUAGGCUAGGCACUCACGAGGCUGGCUGUGGCAAGUGUAAGUGAAAGCAACACGCACUGGCAGGAAGAACAGCAAACGCCGAUGAAGGAAAAGGGUCUUUGCAGUGAUGGGCGUUACCAGAGAGGGCGAUGGCCAGAGGACACAAAUGGGACGGGGAGGCAGCGCGUUGGGGUGGGGGGGGGGGGCGCGACACAGCUCGGGCCCGCCAGUGCCCCAACGGGGUCCUAGUUCUUCUUUUUCCUCCCCUUUGAACUGGAAAAUGGCCCACUUCCCACUGGCGAAAACUCAUGAAAUUUGGCAGGAUGACCGGGCCUGGUGAAAAAUUUGAUAUUCCGAAGUCGCCCAUACAAGAAAAUGCAAAAUGGCUCCAUAGCGCCCCCUAAGGUGAAAAUUCACACUAUUGACUGUCACGCCUUUACGCUUUGUCAAAAUGACACAAAAAUUGACACACAUAUGUAUCUCAAUAAGAUCUACAAAAAAGUCAGUGCGGGCGUAUCUGUCAAAUGUACGGUUAAAGGGUUAUUCCGCAUUUUUUGCCGAUCCGCACACAUUGGAAUUUCGCUAACUCCUCCGAAGGCUUUCUUUCCACCGGCACCACAUUUGCUCAGGCCAAUCUACACCCCAUGGCCAUUAAAAUUUAUUCAAAUCAUGACGCUGCACCCCACGGUUUAGGUUCUAGGGGGCGCCAAAGAUAACCCUAAAAUCCACAUAUUUAAAAGUCUUAUAACUUUUUAUUUUUGCCCUCACUGGCCUCCAAGUUUUCUAGGAUGAUGCAAUGUCCAGCCAUCAACACAUUUGUGAAGGAAUUUUUACUCCCCAAAAGAGCGCCCCCCCAUGGCCGGAGAAAAAAGUCCAUUUUUUCUUGUCCCCUAAGGUGAAAAUACACAUUGUUGAGUGUCACGCCUGUACGCUUUGUCAUAUUGACACAAAAUUUGACACACACAUGUAUCUCAAUAAGAUCUACGAAAAAGUCACUGCGCGCGUAUCUGUCAAAUGUACGGUUAAAGGGUUAUUCCGCAUUUUUUGCUGAUCCGCACACAUUGGAAUUUCGCUAACUCCUCCUAAGGCUGGCAUUCCACCGGCACCACAUUUGCUCAGGCCAAUCUACACCCCAUGGCCAUAGAAAGUUAUUCAAAUCAUGACGCUGCACCCCACGGUUUACGUUCUAGGGGGCGCCAAAGAUAACCCAAAAAUCCACAGUCUUAAAAGUCUUAUAACUUUUUAUUUUUGUCCUCACUGGCCUCCAAGUUUUCUAGGAUGAUGCAAUGUCCAGCCAUCAACACAUUUGUGAAGGAAUUUUUACUCCCCAAAAGAGCGCCCCCCCAUGGCAGGAGAAAAAAGUCCAUUUUUUCUUGUCCCGUAAGGUGAAAAUUCACAUUGUUGAGUGUGACACCUGUACGCUUUGUCAUAUUGACACAAAAUUUGACAAUCACGUGUAUCUCAAUAAGAUCUACGAAAAAGUCAAUGGGUGCGUAUCUGUCAAAUGUACGGUUAAAGGGCUAUUUUGCAUUUUUUGCCGAUUCGCACACAUUGGAAUGUGGCUAACUCCUCCUAAGGCUUUCGUCCCACUGAAACCAAAUUUGCUCAGGCCAAUCUACACCCCAUGGCCAUUCAAAGUUGUAAAAAUCAUGACGCUGCACCCCACGGUUUACGUUCUAGGGGGCGCCAAAGAUGACCAAAAAAUCCACAUUCUUAAAAGAAUCCACAUUCUCCCCCCCCAUGGCAGGAGAAAAAGUCAAGUUUUUCCUGCCCAUCGCUCAAUGGCUCAAUCGCAUCGCUCCCCAGGCAACACCGUAACGAGGAGCAACCCGCCAUUUGGAUAUAUCCAAGCUGUGUUUGUGCCCUCACUCAUGGUCCAGACUUUUUUCAAAUAGGACAUGAAGUUUGUCUGCAGCGAGUGUUUUGGUAGAAACUGCGCCUCCCAUUCAUUAUAAUGGGAAAUGACCACAGACAAGUGCGCACACCAUCUUUGGACCUUGAGUGUGACGCGAUCGGGAGGGGGAGGCGGUCACGCUGGGGGCGGCACGACGCGGCUCGGGCCCGACAGUGCCCCACCGGGGCCCUAGUUCUUUCUUUCUUUCUUAGGGCCCGAGCCAGCUGCAGAGCAGCCGGGCGUAGGCCCUAUUAUUCCCCAAGUGGUUUUUCUUUGUUUCUUUCUUUAGGGCCCGAGCCAGCUGCAGAGCAGCCGGGCGUAGGCCCUAUUAUUCCCCAAGUGGUUUUUCUUUGUUUCUUUCUUUCUUUUUUCUUUUUCCUCCCCUUUGAACUGGAAAAUGGCCCACUUCCCACUGGCGAAAACUCAUGAAAUUUGGCAGGACGACCGGGCCUGGUGAAAAAUUUGAUAUUCCGAAGUCGCCCAAACAAGAAAAUGCAAAAUGGCUCCAUAGCGCCCCCUAAGGUGAAAAUUCACACUAUUGACUGUCACGCCUGUACGCUUUGUCAAAAUGACACAAAAAUUGACACACACAUGUAUCUCAAUAAGAUCUACAAAAAAGUCAGUGCGGGCGUAUCUGUCAAAUGUACGGUUAAAGGGUUAUUUCGCAUUUUUUGCCGAUCCGCACACAUUGGAAUUUCGCUAACUCCUCCGAAGGCUUUCGUUCCACCGGCACCACAUUUGCUCAGGCCAAUCUACACCCCAUGGCCAUUAAAAGUUAUUCAAAUCAUGACGCUGCACCCCACGGUUUAGGUUCUAGGGGGCGCCAAAGAUAACCCUAAAAUCCACAUAUUUAAAAGUCUUAUAACUUUUUAUUUUUGCCCUCACUGGCCUCCAAGUUUUCUAGGAUGAUGCAAUGUCCAGCCAUCAACACAUUUGUGAAGGAAUUUUUACUCCCCAAAAGAGCGCCCCCCCAUGGCAGGAGAAAAAAGUCCAUUUUUUCUUGUCCCGUAAGGUGAAAAUUCACAUUGUUGAGUGUGACACCUGUACGCUUUGUCAUAUUGACACAAAAUUUGACAAUCACGUGUAUCUCAAUAAGAUCUACGAAAAAGUCAAUGGGUGCGUAUCUGUCAAAUGUACGGUUAAAGGGCUAUUUUGCAUUUUUUGCCGAUUCGCACACAUUGGAAUGUGGCUAACUCCUCCUAAGGCUUUCGUCCCACUGAAACCAAAUUUGCUCAGGCCAAUCUACACCCCAUGGCCAUUCAAAGUUGUAAAAAUCAUGACGCUGCACCCCACGGUUUACGUUCUAGGGGGCGCCAAAGAUGACCAAAAAAUCCACAUUCUUAAAAGAAUCCACAUUCUCCCCCCCCCCAUGGCAGGAGAAAAAGUCAAGUUUUUCCUGCCCAUCGCUCAAUGGCUCAAUCGCAUCGCUCCCCAGGCAACACCGUAACGAGGAGCAACCCGCCAUUUGGAUAUAUCCCAGCUGUGUUUGUGCCCUCACUCAUGGUCCAGACUUUUUUCAAAUAGGACAUGAAGUUUGUCUGCAGCGAGUGUUUUGGUAGAAACUGCGCCUCCCAUUCAUUAUAAUGGGAAAUGACCACAGACAAGUGCGCACACCAUCUUUGGACCUUGAGUGUGACGCGAUCGGGAGGGGGAGGCAGUCACGCUGGGGGCGGCACGACGCGGCUCGGGCCCGACAGUGCCCCACCGGGGCCCUAGUUAUUUUUCCUCCCCUUUGAACUGGAAAAUGGCCCACUUCCCACUGGCGAAAACUCAUGACAUUUGGCAGGACGACCGGGCCUGGUGAAAAAUUUGAUAUUCCGAAGUCGCCCAAACAAGAAAAUGCAAAAUGGCUCCAAAGCGCCCCCUAAGGUGAAAAAUUCACCCUGACGCCUGUACGCUUUGUCAAAAUGACACAAAAAUUGACACACACAUGUAUCUCAAUAAGAUCUACAAAAAAGUCAGUGCGGGCGUAUCUGUCAAAUGUACGGUUAAAGGGUUAUUGCGCAUUUUUUGCCGAUCCGCACACAUUGGAAUUUCGCUAACUCCUCCGAAGGCUUUCUUUCCACCGGCACCACAUUUGCUCAGGCCAAUCUACACCCCAUGGCCAUUAAAAUUUAUUCAAAUCAUGACGCUGCACCCCACGGUUUAGGUUCUAGGGGGCGCCAAAGAUAACACUAAAAUCCACAUAUUUAAAAGUAUUAUAACUUUUUAUUUUUGUCCUCACUGGCCUCCAAGUUUUCUAGGAUGAUGCAAUGUCCAGCCAUCAACACAUUUGUGAAGGAAUUUUUACUCCCCAAAAGAGCGCCCCCCCCAUGGCAGGAGAAAAAAUCAAUUUUUUCUUGUCCCCUAAGGUGAAAAUACACAUUGUUGAGUGUCACGCCUGUACGCUUUGUCAAAAUGACACAAAAAUUGACACACACAUGUAUCUCAAUAAGAUCUACAAAAAAGUCAAUGGGCGCGUAUCUGUCAAAUGUACGUUUAAAGGGUUCUUCCGCAUUUUUUGCCGAUUCGCACACAUUGGAAUUUCGCUAACUCCUCCGAAGGCUUUCGUUCCACCGGCACCACAUUUGCUCAGGCCAAAUUACACCCCAUGGCCAUUAAAAGUUAUUCAAAUCAUGACGCUGCACCCCACGGUUUACGUUCUAGGGGGCGCCAAAGAUAACCCAAAAAUCCAAAUUUUUAAAAGUCUUAUAACUUUUUAUUUUUGUCCUCACUGGCCUCCAAGUUUUCUAGGAUGAUGCAAUGUCCAGCCAUCAACACAUUUGUGAAGGAAUUUUUACUCCCUAAAAGAGCGCCCCCCCAUGGCAGGAGAAAAAAGUCCAUUUUUUCUUGUCCCCUAAGGUGAAAAUACACAUUGUUGAGUGUAACACCUGUACGCUUUGGCAAAAUGACACAAAAAUUGACACACACAUGUAUCUCAAUAAGAUCUACAAAAAAGUCAAUGCGCGCGUAUCUGUCAAAUGUACGGUUAAAG
rnacentral:lncRNA from 1 species